CCUACGGGUGGCAGCAGUGAGGAAUAUUGGUCAAUGGACGAGAGUCUGAACCAGCCAAGUAGCGUGAAGGAUGACUGCCCUAUGUGUUGUAAACUUCUUUUAUAUGGGAAUAAAACGUUCCACGUGUGGGAUUUUGUAUGUACCAUAUGAAUAAGGAUCGGCUAACUCCGUGCCAGCAGCCGCGGUAAUACGGAGGAUCCGAGCGUUAUCCGGAUUUAUUGGGUUUAAAGGGAGCGUAGGUGGAUUGUUAAGUCAGUUGUGAAAGUUUGCAGCUCAACCGUAAAAUUGCAGUUGAAACUGGCAGUCUUGAGUACAGUAGAGGUGGGCGGAAUUCGUGGUGUAGCGGUGAAAUGCUUAGAUAUCACGAAGAACUCCGAUUGCGAAGGCAGUUCACUGGACUGCAACUGACACUGAGGCUCGAAAGUGUGGGUAUCAAACAGGAUUAGAUACCCUGGUAGUC
rnacentral:rRNA from 1 species